GUGGCGAAGGAGGAGCCGGAGCAGCUGCUGCCAGCCCGCGGGUACCGGAGUCCUGCCCGCUGCCGCACGAGUAGCCACGGGCGCGAUCGGGGCCAAACGUCUCCUCCUCUAUGAUCACUUUGGGAGCGGGGGGAAGACUUUUCCCGGCCGUGAGAGCUGGUCUGCGUUUCCCUGGCGCGGCGGCGGCGGAGCAGCGACAGCAGCCGGGUCCGAAUCGGAGCGGCCACAGCCUGGGGCGUGUGCGCCCCGCGCGGAGCGGGCUCGGGUUCCCCACGGAAUGUUCCCGGGGCGCCCCGCGCGCUGACCCCCCAGCCGCCUCCGCCUUCGGCGCCUGCUGCCUUUCUCGGGCGGGUUCGGUGUUGGGGACUGCAAGCUUCCCGGCUCCUGGGCAGUGGGGAAGCCCCCGGGGGCGGGUGACCUCAGCUGGCCACGACCCAGCCCUCCCCCGUGCGUAUCUCGCUUAAGAUGGCAGCGGAGUCAGGGGAACUAAUCGGGGCUUGCGAGUUCAUGAAAGAUCGGUUAUAUUUUGCUACUUUAAGGAAUAGACCAAAAAGCACAGUAAAUACCCACUAUUUCUCCAUCGAUGAGGAGCUGGUCUAUGAAAAUUUUUAUGCAGAUUUUGGACCUCUGAACUUGGCAAUGGUGUACAGAUACUGCUGUAAACUAAACAAGAAACUAAAAUCAUACAGUUUAUCAAGAAAGAAAAUAGUGCACUACACCUGUUUUGAUCAACGGAAAAGAGCAAAUGCGGCAUUUUUGAUAGGUGCUUAUGCUGUAAUCUAUUUAAAGAAGACACCAGAAGAAGCCUACAGAGCACUCCUGUCUGGCUCAAACCCCCCCUAUCUUCCGUUCAGGGAUGCUUCCUUUGGAAAUUGCACUUACAAUCUCACCAUCCUCGACUGUUUGCAGGGAAUCAGAAAGGGAUUACAACAUGGAUUUUUUGACUUUGAGACAUUUGAUGUGGAUGAAUAUGAACAUUAUGAGCGAGUUGAAAAUGGUGACUUCAACUGGAUUGUUCCAGGAAAAUUUUUAGCAUUUAGUGGACCACAUCCAAAAAGCAAAAUUGAAAAUGGCUAUCCUCUUCACGCCCCUGAAGCCUACUUUCCUUAUUUCAAAAAGCACAACGUGACGGCAGUCGUGAGGCUGAACAAAAAGAUUUACGAGGCGAAGCGCUUCACAGACGCGGGCUUCGAGCACUACGACCUCUUCUUCAUCGACGGCAGCACGCCCAGCGACAACAUCGUGCGGAGGUUCCUGAACAUCUGCGAGAACACGGACGGGGCGAUCGCGGUUCACUGCAAAGCUGGUCUUGGAAGAACAGGGACAUUGAUAGCCUGUUAUGUCAUGAAACACUACAGGUUUACACACGCUGAAAUAAUUGCUUGGAUCAGAAUAUGCCGGCCAGGCUCCAUUAUAGGACCCCAGCAGCACUUCCUGGAAGAAAAACAGCCAUCGUUAUGGGUCCAAGGAGACAUUUUCCGAUCCAAGCUGAAAAAUAGACCAUCCAGUGAAGGAAGUAUUAAUAAAAUUCUUUCUAGCUUGGAUGAUAUGUCUAUUGGUGCAAACUUAUCUAAAAUACAAAACGUGGAAAGAUUUGGAGAGAAUAAUUUAGAAGAGGAUGAAGAUGUGGAAAUGAAAAAUAGUAUAACCCAGGGAGACAAACUACGUGCCUUAAAAAGUCAGAGACAGCCACGCUCCUCACCAUCCUGUGCAUUUAGGUUGGAUGAUAUGAAAGGGCACCCAAGAGCAGUAUCCCAGCCUUUCAGAUUGACUUCGUCCCCACAAGGAUCUGCAACUACUUUGAAGACCUCGAAAGUGGCUUUGUCCCCUUCAGCGACGGCCAAGAGGAUAAACAGGGGUUCUUUGUCCUCAGGCGCCAGUGUACGAAGCUUUUCCAUAAACUCCCGGCUAGCCAGUUCUCUAGGCAACUUGAAUGCUGCGACACAGGAGCCAGAGAACAAAAAGCCCUCCUCGUCCUCUAAGGCGGGUUUCAUAACCAGCCCGCUCACCAGCCUCUUGAACGGCAGCUCCCAGCCGCCUGCCAGAAACUACCCUGAGCUCAACAACAACCGGUACAGCCGGAGCAACAGCAGCGGUGGGGGCACCCUGAGCAGCCAGCCGAGCCCGCACGGCGUCAAGACCGAGGAGCACCCCACCCUCCUCCGGCCCUCCUACACCGGCCUCUCUUCUUCCUCAGCGAGAUUCCUGAGCCGUUCAAUCCCCGUAAGUUCGCAGACACCACCGCUUGGUCCUCAGAACCCUGAACGCAACUUUUGUGCCUUGCCUUCCCAGCCAAGGCUGCCACCCAAGAAAUUUAAUAGCGCCAAGGAAGCCUUCUGAGCGAUGCCUUCCCUCUGUGCUGUGGAACUGUCCAUGCACGUCCAUUCUGCUGGCUCCUCUUCAAUCCCUUCAGUCUGAAUAUGUUCAUUAUUAAGGCCCUGCCACUCCAGUGAAAGCACUCCGCUCUUAGACACAAGGUCUUCAUCUGCAUGAGCAAUGUAGAGAGAGAGCAGCUGAUUGCCGGAGGAGUCUUUCUGCCUUCUUACGUUAAAUUAAGGAGAGCGCUAACAUAAGACCUUCGAGAGACUUGAAACCAGAAAACUCUGGCUAAUGACUACUCUAAAUGCACUGAAACUGGGUUUAUGGAGCUGUCAACACUUUUUAAGACAGUUUUAAUGUUGAAUUUGGUAUCUCAAAAGGUUAUUUUUAAUGUAUUUUGGUAAUACAUUUGUUAUGACAUUUACAUAUACAGUGUUACAUUAUGUAUGUAUUGUGAACUUUAAGAGACUAUUUUGAUAAAUUUAUAAAUAUAUAAAAUUAUGUAAAAACUAGACUAUAUUUUGACUUAGAUUUUUCUUGCUGUUUGCUACCAAAAAUUUGUAUUUUGAAUUUGUUUAGUAUGGUUUUGUCUACAAUGAAUACAUAAUUCCUCUUUAUGAGGAAAAAAUAAGGGAGAGAGUUUUUAGAAAGUGAUUUUUAUGUUCCCACUGUGAACGUGGCACAUCAGUUCAUUCUUUUGGGAAGUCAGUCUAAUAUGAUGAGUUUAUCCAAACUGAUCUCUGGCGAGAGGAGCAUGAUCCGUUGAUAGGGCUUCUUUAGACCAUUUCCUUUCCCUUUGUUUUUGUUGCCGGGCCAUUUCAUUUUGCAUCCUUGUGGGGCUUUAACACAAUUUAACAUCAGUUGGAGAUCAGAAUUCACUGAAUGUUUCUCCUGAAAACACAGCUUUUCUCUAUGUGAAAUGAUUCAACAUUCCAAAUGCCUUCAUUUCUUUCCUCCUCUCACAAGAGCCCUGACCCCAGUUAGGACAUUCUGCGUUUGGUAUGAGGUUGUCGGCUGUAACCACACACGGUCCGGCACCCGUUUUAAAUCAAUGAAGAGAGAAAACUGAAAAAAAAAAAGAUGCUGCUAAGUAGUUCUCUGUAUCAAAGGAGAUAUGUUUGAAACAGAUGACAAACACCUAACACACAAGCUAGCAUAUCAGAAGCCUGACAGGAGAACCAAGGGAUUCCUUGCAGGUACUUAACGGCCCAUUUACUAAGUGUAAUCUUGUGUUUCGGCCCUCGGAAGCCUGGAGGCUUUGUUUCUCUGGGCAGUUGGGAAGGCUUUGAUGCUGCUUGUUGAUGCUGCCUUAGAACGGACUCCUCACACAGUUAAAUGGAUCCGUAUCAAGUGCUCUGCUGGCCACCACUGAGUUCUUCAUAAUCUAUUUAUUAGGAGGGGGUAUCUUGAGGCUGUUACACAUGCUUCAGCAAAACAGCGCGUUGGUGUUUUCUAUUUUAAAAAAGGCAUUUGAAUUACUGGCUCAGGUUCAUGACUUAAACUUCAGUAACUGCAGUACCAAAUAAUUGCACUAAAGCUGACAGAAAAAAAUGAAUUGUAUGUUUUAGGAGUCAAAAAUUAAAAUAAGUGGAAUUAAAUUGUAUGCCUUUUCUAAAGCCAAAAGAGUAAAAUAUUUUAUUAUGAGUUGUGGAAAAAAAAAAAGAUUGGUUAGUUGUAUAGGAAGAUGAUAGUAUUUUUAAAAUUUAUCAGUGAAAAGUAAUUCAGACGAUAUUCGAGAAGUGGGGAAAAGGGAAUCAUGUUGACAGUUUUAGUUCUGUGAACACUAAUUUGUGUGCAGCUAUUAAAAUGAUUGUAAAAUUGACUACUAUAAAUUUUCCAUAAUUGUGUGUGUAUAUUAGUCAUGUGUAUCUACAUGUGUAUGUCUUAAAAUUAUUUGUACACAUGUAGAUACUUAGACAAACCAAGAAGUGUAUGUAUAUAAUAUAGAAAGUAUAUAUAGCAAAGUAAUUCUACUCCAAAAUAAAAAUUGUUGACAUGUAUUUUGUUAUGAAUAGUUUACCUUCCAAAAGAUAUUUUGUUCUAUUUUAAAGUGUAGAAGAAUGCACUGCUAAUUAAUAAUAAAAGUUUUAUGCAAUUUAUGUUUUCCCUGACUUUUAUAAUUUGGAUUUUGAGUUAUCAAUGUACUGAAGUUUCUUUGUAAUUUUCUAUUUGAUCUGAUCUGGUUGGUGCCUUUCAAGUGUCUCAAGCUCUCCAUUCUGGAUUUUUAGUUUAUCUUUUAUUGACUUUCCAGGUUGUGGCCAUUUUCUGAAGUAUAUGACAAUGAGCACAAAGAAAUCUUAUCCUUUGCCUUUCACAAAAGUCAGAUAAUGUCGGGCUCUUGCUGUCUUUCUAAUUUUCCUUUCUGUUAAUAAAACACUGAUUGUGAUCAGA